GACGAACGCUGGCGGCGUGCUUAACACAUGCAAGUCGAACGGAAAGGCCCUGCUUUUGUGGGGUGCUCGAGUGGCGAACGGGUGAGUAACACGUGAGUAACCUGCCCUUGACUUUGGGAUAACUUCAGGAAACUGGGGCUAAUACCCGGUAGGAGCUACUGCUGCAUGGGGGGGGUUGGAAAGAUUCGGCGGUUGGGGAUGGAUUCGAGGCUUAUCCGCUUGUUGGUGGGGUAGUGGCUUACCAGGGCUUUGACGGGUAGGCGGCCUGAGAGGGUGACCGGCCACAUGGGGACUGAGAGACGGCCCAGACGCGUACGGGAGGCAGCAGGGGGGAAUAUUGCACAAUGGGCGGAAGCCUGAUGCAGCAACGCCGCGUGCGGGAUGACGGCCUUCGGGUUGUAAACCGCUUUCGCCUGUGACGAAGCGUGAGUGACGGUAAUGGGUAAAGAAGCACCGGCUAACUACGUG
rnacentral:rRNA from 1 species